rnacentral:rRNA from 1 species
AACCUUUAGCCACCAAACCAAUAUUAAAGGCAACGCCUGCCCAGUGAACAAUUAAACGGCCGCGGUACCCUAACCGUGCAAAGGUAGCGUAAUCACCUGUCUAUUAAUUGUAGACCCGUAUGAACGGCAAAAUGAGGGUUUAACUGUCUCUUAUGAUGAUUCAAUUAAACUGAUCUCCCAGUCCAAAAGCUGGGAUACCCACAUAAGACCAGAAGACCCUGUGAAGCUUUAACUAAACUAUUAAACCCAAUAAUAGCUCCUUUGGGUUGGGGCGACCUUGGAAAAAAAAAGAACUUCCAAACUAAAUGAUCUAUACCACACCUUACUUUAGGCCUACAAGCCUACAAUCGACCCAGCACAGCUGAGUAAUGAACCAAGUUACUCCAGGGAUAACAGCGCCAUCUUCUUCAAGAGCCCAUAUCAAAAAGAAGGUUUACGACCUCGAUGUUGGAUCAGGACAUCCUAAUGGUGCAGCCGCUAUUAAGGGUUCGUUUGUUCAACGAUUAACAGUCCC